rnacentral:misc_RNA from 1 species
UGGGUUUGACAUCGCCUGACCGGCCUGGAGACAGGUCUUUCCCGCAAGGGACAGGUGGACAGGUGCUGCAUGGCUGUCGUCAGCUCGUGUCGUGAGAUGUUCGGUUAAGUCCGGCAACGAGCGCAACCCACACCCUUGGUUGCCAGCACGUAAUGGUGGGCACUUUAGGGGAACUGCCCGUGAUAAGCGGGAGGAAGGUGGGGAUGACGUUCUCUACG